CCCAGGCCCAGGCCCAAGCCCGGGCCGGAGGCCGGAGGUGGGGCUCGGUGGCACCGAGGCGGGCUCCCGGCGCUGCGCCCCCGGCUCCUGCACGGCCCCGGGGCAGCGCGUUCAACCCCAGUGCAGGUGGGGGUGAGCACAGCACCAGCGGAGCCGCCUCUCCGGGCCAUGUGUCCUGCCUGCCCAGCCGAAGGAGCGUGCAUUGGAGCCCGCCGGGGAUGGUGCGUUGCAGCAGAGCCUCUGGAGCGGCUGCGUCUGGGGAGUCUCCUUUGUAUCUGUGGGCAACAGCUGAGUCAGAAGAGCUGCUUAGUGAAGAAUGUGAAGAGGCUUCGGAAGCAGUUAGAAAGAGAAGCAGGAAAGCCUGAGGCAACAAGAUGUGCCUUUGUUCUGAAGGCUUUCAAAAUGCCUUCAGAGAACCAUGUUUGUGGAAGGAUUUUGCAAGAAUCCUGGCAUUGCUUGGAUUACGAAACUGGUGAGUAUGUGCUCUCCUAAGGAAAGUGAGGCUGAGAUGAAUGAUACCUUCAUUCUGUGGAGGGAGAGGAAAGUAUGCAGGAAAUCCACAGGAAGAACUGGGCAGAGCGAGUUGGAGACCUGAAGGGUAGCCUCAUGCUCCGAAUCGCAUUUAUCCCCCCAAACCUGGAGCUGUGCUGAAUGCAGCAACUUCCACAUCAGCCUUGUCCUGAGGACCAAGGAAGUAUUGCGUUUCCUUUAGAAAUUACCACAAUACCUGAUGCUGAGAAGCUCCUUGCUUCUGCCAGAUGGCUGAAGCCAUCUAACAUGGUUGGCAGGUCACAAGGUGAAGGAGUUUUCCUGUCCCAAAACAUGAAGGAUAUCGUUGAUUGAAGAAGUACAUCCCACUGAAGGCCUGGUGAUUCAGAGGUGGAUUCAUCUUCUCACCCAGGAUUUACUCUGAAUAGCAGAGAUGAUGGCUGCAUCCCACCUGUCUGUGUGUGCCAUGAAGAAGGGAGCUGGGAGCAACAGAAACAGCAAAUGGUAUUCCAGAAAUGACAAGCAAAUAGGAGUAUUAUUCUUUCAGCCGUAAUUGUGUGAGUGCAAGCAGUUCCACAGGCUGCUAUGAUGAACAACUGCACAGCAGCAAGUGUAACACUGAUCCUGGGCUUGGGAUGGGAGAGAUCACCAUGGAUGAAGUUCACUCUCUCUUCCUCACAUUGGGCAGCAGCAGUUCCCACUGCUCUCUGGACACUGACAGCUCAGCACUAGACUCUGGCCUUCCUCCUUCUGAACUGCAAAGGGCUUGAACGAGGUACUUUGUAAUAACUGACCCAAAACCCAGUUCCUCGCUGGCUUCCUGGCUGUCCAGCCCCACUUGCAGAGCUGAGUUCUGGACCAGGUAAGAAAAUAAAGGGGCUAAACACAUUCUGCAAAGCAAACCAAAGCUUUUAGGGAAGGCAGGCACCUGAUCCUCCCACUGCUACUACUAUGGAAACAUGUCAGAGCAGAGAACCUGUUGCCAUGAUACUGUAAAAAUAACCUGGUGUCAGCCGUUGCAGAGACGCUGAGUGGCUGCUCCACACGGGUUGUGUGUGAGUGGCUCCAGCGCAGGGACCUGGCACUGUGUGUGCAGGGAGGUGGCUUUCUGAAAGCUUCAGGUAAUAAAUAAUGUGUGUCUGUGAAACUUCAGGCUGAUGUGGGCAGCCUGGCUUCUUGCAGAUGUGCAUUUAGGGUGCGUGGGGUUAGCUACAGAAUUCCAAAGCACAUCAAGCAGUGGUAGUUGGGGUUUAGGCUUAAAGAAAUCCCACCUCAGAUAUAAGGAGUUGGAAACAAGGUGGGGUUUGGAACUGUGUAAAUUGAAGCGUGUGUGGAACGGACGAGGCUGCCUGGUGAAGGUGCCUCUGAGCUCUAAGGUGGAGGGUGCUCAGGGAGCCAGGAAGAGGCUGGUGCUGGGUUUAAAGCCCUGCACACAUGUGCUGAGGGGAAGCGAGCACAGGAUCAGGCCCAGCUCUGUGCUGCACCAGGGAGGUUUGGCAGAACGGGUGAGCUCCCUCGAGAGCUGCAGAGAGCAGGACAACGGCUGUUUGAAGCCUUUAAAUUCUAUCCAGAAAUACCUUUACAGCAGUUCAAAACAUAAAGGGCUUGGCUGUGCCCAGACACUUUCCUGUACACAGCAAAAAACCAAACCCUCCGUAGCCUGUUACUAAUGUUUUUUUCAUGUUUUUAUGGUCUUACCCAAGCUGUGCUGGGGUUCAAGUUCAGGCUAAAGGGGGUGGGCUAAAGGCAAUCCUUAAAACCUUUGAAGAAACUAUUACUGGUUGGAUCAAUUGUCCUUUUACUACAAGGCUGACUCAGGACUCGGUCCUGCUCAGCUCUCUUCAGGCUGCUUUUUUAAAUAUACAUGUUUUAUCCCUCA